ACAAGGAAGAGUUUCACAAUUCUAUUUCAAAGAACUCACCAGAAGGUUGGCAGUCAAAAUUCGAUAGAAUUGGAAACUCUCGUAUGAAGUGCAAAUUAUGUAAUAAAGAAAUAGUUUUAUAUAAACAGCAAUUUUACACAAAACACUUAUUUCGAAGACACAAUUUAACAGAGAAAGAACACAACUUGGUGACUAAAUAUUUUAAGAAAUUGAAUUGGCAGAAACGACAAUGUACAAAGUGUAAUACGGUUAUUGAAAAUUGUAAUUUUUUGGUCUUCGUGGAACAUUUCAACCAGUGUUUGGAUGACAAUAGAUCUUUAGACCUCAGAAUAACGAAAUAAAGGAAAAAGCGUCAUACACUAUCUGUAAUACGUAGCGAACAUCAUGGCACACUCAUCACAGAGUACCUGGCAAUGGGCAUUGGAAUAUUUUACACAAAUAGAUGCUGAACGUGCAAAAUGCAAUAUAUGUGCUGGAGAACUUACUAUUUUUACGUUUCAAUUACACAAUGCAAAGGACCAUUUAAUGAGGUAUCACAAGGAAGAGUGUUACAAUUCUAUUUCAAAGAACUCACCAGAAGGUUGGCAGUCAAAAUUCGAUAGAAUUGGAAACUCUCGUAUGAAGUGCAAAUUAUGUAAUCAAGAAAUAGCUUUAUAUAAACAGCAACUUUACACAAAACACUUAUUUCCAAGACACAAUUUAAGAGAGGAAGAACACAACUUGGUGACUAAAUAUUUUAAGAAAUUGAAUUGGCAGAAACGACAAUGUACAAAGUGUAAUACGGUUAUUGAAAAUUCUAAUUUUAUUGUCUUCGUGGAACAUUUUAACCAGUGUUUGGAUGACAAUAGACCUUUAGACCUCAGAAUAACGAAAUAAAGGAAAAAGCGAUCAUUCAGUAAUUCAAGAAGUUCAAGUUUUAAAAGAGAUGCUGAAAACGUUACUACAGCAAUCAGUAGCAGCAAAAGAUGUUGUAAAAAACAUUUUGAUCACUUAAUAAUUUACAUAAUUAAGAAGAAAAGGAACCAAACAUAUAUAUUCCUGAUGACGAAUCAUUUGUUUUUGCCAUUUUGAUGUGUGACUUUAACUAAAUUUACUUUAAAUUUUUUCUUAU